UUUCACACGUCUUUUCCGGGCGUGGUUGGAUAAUCCCUCGCCGGGCUGCGGCGUGCCGAGCUAAGACCGUCACGACCUCGGAAAAAAAAGAAAUUCGGGGCACUUUCUUGGUUCUUGGGCGAAACUUCAUCCGACAUUUCCAGGAGCUUUUCUCGUGGAGGAUUGAAUGCCCCUCAACAUGCUCGGUCAAAGUAGAACUUUGUGAAGUGCAGUGAAGAUGACCUCAACAUCUGAAAGUUCAGUGACUGUAAAAUGGAAAAAGAGGAGAUGACCAAUCCUCCAUCGACCUGAGCUGACAGGUGGAGCUCGGAGAUUGAAAAAAACUAAACAUCUUGGCUAUUUUUACCAGUGAGGUUUGUUUGGCCAGUCAGUUCUUGGCAAACAGGCUGCACAGAUUCAGGAACGGUCGGAGGGAUGUCUGCGACUAAGCAUACGGUACCGAGAACACGAUGAGGAUGAGCUCGUUCAUUGGUUCACUACUUACUCUCCUGGUUUUCCAAAGAUAUCAUGCAACGACGUAACAUCUCACAUAUUUUUUUCGAUUUUAAACUUU